AGUAACACGUGAGUAAUCUGCCCUUGGCUUUGGGAUAAGCCCCGGAAACGGGGUCUAAUACCGGAUACGACGCGCUCUCGCAUGGGAUGUGUGUGGGAAAAGUUUUUUUCGGGCCAGGGGAUGUGCUCGCGGCCUAUCAGCUUGUUGGUGGGGUAAUGGCCUACCAAGGGCUUCGACGGGUAGCCGGCCUGAGAGGGUGACCGGCCACACUGGGACUGAGACACGGCCCAGACUCCUACGGGAGGCAGCAGUGGGGAAUAUUGGACAAUGGGCGGAAGCCUGAUCCAGCAACGCCGCGUGAGGGAUGACGGCCUUCGGGUUGUAAACCUCUUUCGGUACCGACGAAGCGCCGAUGAUGGUGGUGACGGUAGGUACAGAAGAAGCACCGGCCAACUACGUG
rnacentral:rRNA from 1 species